rnacentral:tRNA from 1 species
GGGGUUGUAGCUCAGUGGUGGAGCACUUGUCUGGAACAUGCAAGGCCCUGGGUUCAAUCCUCAGCACCA